rnacentral:pre_miRNA from 1 species
CGGGGGAGGCGGGAUCCUGGGCUGUGUCCCGGCGCCCUGUGCUCCGGGGCCUGCGCUGUUGGAUUAGCGCUCCCGGGUUGCGCAGCCCCCU